GAGGAAGUAAAAGUCGUAACAAGGUUUCCGUAGGUGAACCUGCGGAAGGAUCAUUAUCGAGUUUUGAACGGGUUGUCUGCUGGCUCGCAAGGGCAUGUGCACGCCUGUCUCAUCCACUCUCAACUUCUGUGCACUUUUCAUAGGCCGGCUUGUGGGUGCGUUCGCGCACUUGUAGGUGUCGGGCUUAUGCUUUACUACAAACGAUUCAGUUUUAGAAUGUCAUACUUUGCUAUAACGCAAUUUAUAUACAACUUUCAGCAACGGAUCUCUUGGCUCUCGCAUCGAUGAAGAACGCAGCGAAAUGCGAUAAGUAAUGUGAAUUGCAGAAUUCAGUGAAUCAUCGAAUCUUUGAACGCACCUUGCGCUCCUUGGUAUUCCGAGGAGCAUGCCUGUUUGAGUCUCAUGGAAUUCUCAACCUUCAGCUUUAUUGAUGAAGGCUUGGACUUGGAGGUCGUGCCGGCUCUCGUAGUCGGCUCCUCUGAAAUGCAUUAGUGCGAACGUUACCAGCCGCUUCAGCGUGAUAAUUAUCUGCGUUGCUGCGGAGGGUAUUCUAGUGUUCACGCUUCUAACCGUCUUCGGACAAAUUUCUGAACUCUGAGCUCAAAUCAGGUAGGACUACCCGCUGAACUUAAGCAUAU
rnacentral:rRNA from 1 species